rnacentral:rRNA from 1 species
UACAGAGGUCUCGAGCGUUGUUCGGAUUCAUUGGGCGUAAAGGGUGCGUAGGUGGCGUGGUAAGUCUGGUGUGAAAUCCCGGGGCUCAACCCCGGAACUGCACUGGAUACUGCCAUGCUUGAGUACUGGAGAGGAGAUUGGAAUUUACGGUGUAGCAGUGAAAUGCGUAGAUAUCGUAAGGAAGACCAGUGGCGAAGGCGAAUCUCUGGACAGUUACUGACACUGAGGCACGAAGGCCAGGGGAGCAAACGGG